rnacentral:rRNA from 1 species
UACGUAGGGGGCAAACGUUGCUCGGAAUCACUGGGCAUAAAGCGCACGUAGGUGGCUUGGUAAGUCUGAUGUGAAAUCCCCCGGCUCAACCGGGGAACUGCGUUGGAUACUGCCGAGCUUGAGGACUGGAGGGGAGACUGGAAUUCCUGGUGGAGCGGUGAAAUGCGUAGAUAUCAGGAGGAACGCCGGUGGCGAAAGCGAGUCUCUGGACAGUUUCUGACACUGAGGUGCGAAAGCUAGGGGAGCAAACGGG